AUGGCUCACAACUUCGUGCCUGAUGCAUGGGGUUGGAUCAGCAGCCUGCCCCCAUUCUCCCAGUGGCGCACCAACACCAUGUCCCUCUGCAUCUGCGCCACGCCUUCAGCGUCGGCGUCAUCACAGCCGGCAUCAAUGACCCUCUCGGUUGCCAAAACACCUCCCACCCAGCCUUCCUACCUCACCUUCUCCAUCUCCGCCAACUACCGCGAGCCGAUAUUCCUGUGGACGUCGAAACCGGUCCACCUGAAAACCAAGGCGCAGCAAUCCCUGGACGAGCAAGACAUGGUGCAGCUGUUCGUCGACGUCGUGAACCAGGUGUUGCGGUACGGGCCAGACAACAGCAGCAAGCCGUCCUUCCGGUUCCCCAGGGGGCAGCAACUCCAUGGCGGCAGCUUCAGCGACGGGUUCAACAUAGUCUUCUUGUCCCUCGCCUUCCUGGUCUGCAUCUACGAGGCGCCUCGCGACCUCCGCCACGGGUGCCUGGACUCGCUGAGGACCCAGCUGACCGGUCCAAAGUGCAGAGGCGCUGCAAAGACCCUCGUCAAAAUGCUCGGCGCGAACCUCGAGGACCAGUGGAUGCAGACGAUGAACCUCGCGGUGACCAACUGGAUGGUUGAGCUGCGGUCCUCGCACCACACGCCCAGGGCAGCGUCACCGCUCUUCUCGUACGCCCUCCAGGCAAGCGGGCUCUGGAAGGUCCAGCUGUACUGCCCAGUGAUCGCCAUGGGCAUGGAGGAUCCUGCGGCAGCGGUGGCGCAGGAUGAGCGCCUUCUCUUCUCACUCACUUAUCAGCAACUUGAAGGCGUGGUCCAGCUAGCCUACAAAACAGUCAGAAGGGAUAACUGGAUUGAUAUCGAGGUAAAGGUGGAUAACAUAAGGUGCGACGUGGACCCUUUGGUCUCCGAGACCCUCAUGGCGGAGCGCGGAUAUGGUUCUGAAGAGAAGCAUUUCCCAUCUCGUGUCAUGCUGCAGAUCACACCUAUGCAACAAACAGAUGUACUGUCAGUUUCAGUCAGCAAGUCAUCCGACAACCCCACCCACGAGUUCGGUAUUGAGAAGGGCUUUGAGGGCUCGUUCGAUCCCCCACACUCAUUUGGUCUCAAGGCCUCUGUCGCUGAAAGCCUCACGCUGGCCAUGAAACCCUGGAAAUUCGAGCAGUCCGUGCACGGAAACACCGCAACCUUGAACUGGUUUCUGCACGACGGCAUGAACGGGAGGGAGGUUUGUGCUUCAAAGCCUUCCAAGCUUUCGCUGCUUCAGCCGAGGGCUUGGUUCCGUGACAGGUACUCAAAUGCGUACCGCCCAUUCACAAAGCAGGGUGGAAUCAUUUUUGCCCGCGAUGAGUAUGGAGACAGUGUAAACUGGAAGGUCUGUGGUGCGGCAUUAGGAAAGACUAUGGACUGGGAAAUCAGAGGCUGGAUUUGGCUAACCUACUGGCCAAACAAACAAAGGACCUCUCACAGUGAGACAAGGUGGCUUGAAUUCAGAGAAUGUCUGCAACUUCCCCUUACAAAGUUUCCAUAG
rnacentral:rRNA from 1 species